CCUCUGAGGUCUUCAAAAAGAGGCUGCUCAUAAUCAUAGGAUCAGUACACAUUAAAACCUGCAGAUACCUCCCCAUUUCACUGAUGAGCAUCUAAUAAGGCAUGAAAUCUUGCCAGAGAAUAUAAGUGAAGUAGAAGAAACACCAGGAGUUUCUCAGAUAACCUCAUUGUGUGGCUGGGAAUCAUAUUGUAUGUCUAAUCAUGUAAUACUACAGUAUCUAAAGAAUUAAGUGGAGAAUCAUCUGGAGGGUAAUAGUCACAGGGAAGGCGGAAUGUUAUAUCUAGAAAUGACUGUGAUACAAAAACAAAAGACAUCAAUAACAUUUUGGGAGAUUUUAAGGGGAUGGUGUAGGAGGAAACAUGAACAAAGACAAGGAGAUGGGAAAGAUCAUGGUAUGUAUGGAGGAUUAAGUCUGCAUUGGAAUUGCUAUGAGACUAUUGUGCAUACCAGCCAAGCAAAUGUAGUGCUUUGACUAUUGUUGACUGAUUUGAAUGCGAGAGCAUCAAGAGAAAGGCGAGACUCGGGCUAAAUUAAAAUGGAUACAAUGAACUAUAUUAUCU